AACGAACGCUGGCGGCAGGCUUAACACAUGCAAGUCGAGCGCAUCCUUCGGGGUGAGCGGCAGACGGGUGAGUAACGCGUGGGAAUCUACCUUUUGCUACGGAAUAGCUCCGGGAAACUGGAAUUAAUACCGUAUGUGCCCUUAGGGGGAAAGAUUUAUCGGCAAGAGAUGAGCCCGCGUUGGAUUAGCUAGUUGGUGGGGUAAAGGCCUACCAAGACGACGAUCCAUAGCUGGUCUGAGAGGAUGAUCAGCCACAUUGGGACUGAGACACGGCCCAAACUCCUACGGGAGGCAGCAGUGGGGAAUAUUGGACAAUGGGCGCAAGCCUGAUCCAGCCAUGCCGCGUGAGUGAUGAAGGCCUUAGGGUUGUAAAGCUCUUUCACCGGAGAAGAUAAUGACGGUAUCCGGAGAAGAAGCCCCGGCUAACUUCGUG
rnacentral:rRNA from 1 species